rnacentral:lncRNA from 1 species
UAGAUGGCCUAAGGAAAGACACUUUUCCUGUGUCUGGCUGUUUUUGUGCUUGUUGCUCUGAAGCGUCGACCAGACGGUAACAGUUCAAACAGGCAGUGUGCUGGAUGUGAGUGAUUUAGAGUGAUUUUGCAAGCCUUUUUACUCAUGUUGGAAGAGUACAGUUCUUGAAGUGUAGAAAGGGUAGUGCCAGUGAUACGUUCAGCAGUCCGGACUAUUUGCUGUAGUCUACGGAGGUCGGUUUCGGCAGCUGAGCCAAACUAGA